GGGCUCGCUUCGGCAGCACAUACACUAAAACUGGAGCCAUAAAGACAUCAGCAUGGCCCCUGCGCAAGGAUGACACGCAAAUUCGUGAAGUGUUCCAUAUUUUU